UGAUGACUGUUCCUCCUCUUGCCUUCAGGUCUGGCACUAGGAUUUUAGGUCAUCAUAAAUUAAAAUUUGGUUUUCUUCACUCAGAGAAUAUUAGGAUAAUGGGAUUAUCUGUUUAUUCUCUGAUAUUUGCGGAAUCAAACAUUU
rnacentral:snoRNA from 12 species